rnacentral:rRNA from 1 species
GCGAGCGAGCGAGAGAAAAAGAAGCGAGCGACCGAGUAGCUGCGUAGCGAUGCCUGUGACCUAACCCGUCUCCCCCAGCGAACCCCGCCUCCUCUCCUGCCGCCGCCGCCGCGCCCCCUUCUUCCCUUCUCCAUGCUCGCCGCUGCCGACGCCGCGUCUGCCAGCCGCCCCGCCUCGAGCCAGCCGCCGUUCGGUAAAAACCUAACCUCCACACCCACGCCCCCACCAGUCCCUCCCUCCUCUUCCUCGACCUCCCUCCUAGCUGCCUCCGCCUCCCCUCCGCGGUCGACCUCCUCGUUGCCGGUGAUGCUACAGCGCCUUGGCCCGGUCGUCUCUGUCUCUUGCCGUGCUCUCUCAUGCUGCUGUGCCUCCUGGACGACGCUCCCGUGCCUCGGAUGCACCCCCUUCUCUCCCGAGCUCCAGAUCCAUGGCUGCAGCGGCGAGAUGAAAUUGCAACACCUGGUACCAAGACCAUGCUGGGAUUUUCUGAUCAUGUUAGGAGCUUUGUCAAUCCUGUAUGGACGACCUCUUUGAGUGGAAAUGAUUCGGAUACAACAUCACGGACAGGAAAACAGUUGGACAUCAGCCAUGAAAAGGUUCGAGGUCUUUCACGGAGUUUCCUACCAGCUAUUCAUCUAGAGCACUAUCCUUGUGAAAAUUUCUCAUUUUCUCCUCCAUCUAUUGAUAGGAGACGCACUCGACAAGGGUGUAAGUAGUCUCACCAGUCCAAUUCAGAGUUACAAGAAAGUUCUAAAUCUGAUAAUUUUAAACUUGUGUAGCAUGUCCUGUUUGUUAUGUGCCUGUUGACCAGGGCCUGGCAUUGAUGCCAGCUGCUCAUCUGUCCGAAGACAAUUUGGUACUCAUAGGUCCAAUAGUGGUUCUUUAUUUUGUGGUUAUCCAUCCCUGGAACAACGAGAUAUGUCUUAUAUGACAUAAAAGACUCGAUGACACUACAUUGUGGGUAUGUCCUUGUAUGACUCAAAUGAUUUAACUCUUGUACAUUUAUAUGAUCACUGUGUGUUGUAUCGCUAACCUUUUCUUUAUAUUAAGAUCUGUGAGGGGGGAAGAUACAUGGUCUCGAUACUGCAUUCGAUGUAGAUGAAGCUGGUCUGUCUGAGAUGCGGCAGUGCCAGGGGACAUUUGCUUCUGCUAUUUUUGGGAACUGCAUCCUCUUUUCUAUGCCAAUUAUAUUUGCAUGUUGUCAUGUUUCCAUGCCGGUGCUAAUUGCACAUCGUGUGUGAACUUUCUUAUUUGUUUUUCUCAGAGAAUUAUGAUAUAAUGCAACGACCAGAAAACAUCAGUACAUUUUCAAAAGAUAUUGUUUGCUUCUUCAUGUUUCUGGAUGAAGAAACUGAAGCUGCAAUAAAGAAGAUCCCUACUGUUGAUAAUACGAAAAGAAUCAGGCUGUGGCGGGUGGUUGUUGUGCACAACCUUUUCCUGACCCAACAACUUUCGUGAAAAUCAGCCUAAAAUCACUGUGCAGUUCAUUGUGAAGAAAAUAAAAAAAAAUACUACUGAACCGACAGAGUUUUGAAGCUGGCUUCGCCGCUGCUGUACUGUACAUUAGGUUAUUUGAUUUUCCUAAUUGAAUCUUUUUGGUGCCAGUUACUUCUGGCAUGGAGAUUGUGCACAAGUUAAAAUUCAGCUUAGCGGGCAAUGUAAACUAAAAUUUAGUUGCAAAUAUAAUUUUACGCAAUCUUCUAAAAGCAACAUGCGCUCUUAUCUAGAUAGCUGAUCCAACAUGUUUUCAUUCUUUUCUGCAUUGGGUCAGUGUGAAAAGUUUCUUGACUCCACAACCAUCUUUCCGUUCUGUUGAAAGACGAGAUGAGUAUGCCAUGCUUAAUGUGAAUCAGCAUGAGCGAAUUGUUUUCCUAAUCACGUAUUUUCCUUGUGGUAAUUUUUUAAUUGAAAUGCCAUGCUUAAUGCGAAUCAGCAUGAGCGAAUUUUUUUCCUAAUUGUGUAUUUUCCUUGUUAUAAUUUUUUAACUGAAUCCCUUGUGAUAUUUAGGUUCCAAAACUAUUACUUCAUCGGCUCUUUCCUAAUGUGCGGUAUUCACUCUGUAUCGAUGGGAAACUUAAACUUGUGAAGGAUCCUUAUCAGCUGUUAAAGAGAUUCUUGUGGAGGAAAAAUGUGCGCUUCACUAUUUCCAGGUAUUAUAGACGCUUUGAUGUCUUUGAGGAAGCUGAGGCCAACAAGGCUGGAAGUAUGAUAAUGCUUCAAUCGAUAACCAAAUAAAGUUCUACAAGACAGAGGGUUAACCCAUUAUUCAUCAGCUAAGCUCCUUAUUGCAAGCUGCAAAUGGUUCUUCUCGCUGAAUUCUGAUAUAGAAAUAUUUCUCCUGAGAACAUAAGGGAUACAUUUAUCUUGAACAGAUUCCCUGAGGGUUGUGUAAUUAUAGGAGAGCACAUACCAUCACCAAUCUCUUCACAUGCCUUUGGUUCAAUGAAGUUGAUCGUUCACCUCAAGAGAUCAGCUAAGCUUUAGCACAACGAGGGAUAAAAUAAGAUCAAGAGUUCUUGUUGACAACUAAAUAAGAUCAGGAGUUGAUUGGACUGCAGACAUGUUCCUGGAUUGUGGAAGGCGUGAAUUUGUUGUUCAGGUAUUUUUUGAGUUAAUGCUUUGUGCGGCACAUCAUUCCAUUUGCAACCUGAAGUACUAUUGCAACUUGGUACCGAGUGCAGACUUUGUCAAAUUACACACAAAAAAUUCCAGCAUAACAAUGGAUCUUCGCAUCUUCAUAGCGAGCUGUUUGAAAACAACAUCAGUGGACCGAUGAUUUUUUUUGGAAAGAACACAAUGUCAGGAUCUUUGACAUAAUAGAAUUUUGCUGGAGUUUGAGGCUAUCUAUUGAUGAGGUAUCCUGGAGAGCUGCAAGUUGCUUUUCUUGUUUUGAAUCAUGUUCUUGUUGUUUUCUCCUUGCUGAGAGUGUAUUAUGUGGGUAGUGUACUCAUCAUGAUCUCUGAAGCUAUGCUUACAGUUGCAUCAUUGUUUUCUUGAAAAUUGACCCUCUAAAUUCAUGUUCUCUUAUAACCGAUCCUGUAAAAUCUUCCUUGUAUUUUAAUGAAGUUUCACACCAUGCCCUUU